GACCUAGUGGCGAAACUCAUCGUGCCUGCUUCCAGUAAUGAUCGCUUGAUACAAGCAUAAUACGGCCGGAGAUCCUGGUUCGACUCCAGGCUAGGUCU